rnacentral:rRNA from 1 species
AUGCAAGGCAUGGCUUUAGCUCUCCAACACACAGAGCUGCAAGUCAUCAUCCAAUCAGAUUCAAUUGAGGCUCUAUCCAUCUUAUCAAAUGAGAAUCUCUCACGGUCAGCUUAUGGGCACUUGGUAGCUGAGAUCAAGGCCUUGAUGGAGGAGAGGGAGUCUAUUCCCCAGAAGAUUCGUAGGGAUCAAAAUAGGGUAGCAGAUUGUCUGGCUAAUUACAGCCGUACAGAAUCGUGUACUGCUGUUUGGCUUCAGAGAGGCCCUCCGUGUAUCGAGGAUCUGUUGCCAGUAGAUUGUAAUCCUAUAAUUUUGUAA